UGUUAUGGGUUGGACCUGACAAGCCAAUCCCCUUUUUAAUUUAAGUCUGAUCUCAAAGAAGUCAUUCAACAAUGAAUAAAAAAAGUUUUACUUAUCCACAACAGGGAAAGGAUAAUCAUAUGUUCCUGAUGUUGCAGCCCUGGAGAUCACUCUUUGCUUCAUGUGCCCUCCCUAACUAUCUGCAGGAAAAUGUGGAACUGAACACAUUGGUCAGGAGUGUGAGUGGACUUCCUGGUCAGCAGUUCUAUCAAUUACGUUGGGCCCAUUCACUCCUCUGGAUUUAUAAAUAUUAUUUGGAGCAGAUUCAUACCAAAGCAAAGAAUGGGCUUAUCUCAUCCCAUUUUGAGAUCAAUGAAGGGGAACCUGACAACUUUCCCUGAUAGAACAUAGGCUCCUUGUGGAAUGUCUGAAUGUCCCGUGUGCUUCUCUCUGUUCUGUUUAAGAUGACAGCAUCCUGACCACAAUGCUUCCAAAGGCCUCUCUGGUAGUCUGCUACAUUCCAAUUAAUUUUCAGCCAAGUCAAAUGACCCUGUAGGCAGGGUAAUUCUUACUGGAGAAAGGUUACCUGAGGAUAAUCAGAAUGGAUGUCAUUGCACUUUUCUGGAAAACCUAUUGCCUUCUGAGAAGUGACCAGUGGCCUGAAUUUCAUCAGGCCUGCUUUCUGGAGAUCAACCCACUUGGAUGGCAACAUAACAUGGAGUCAGUACUCUAGAGAAGAGAUUAUGGAGGUCUUUCAGUGUCUUAAAUGAGGUUUUAGUUUUCUGAGUGUCUAUUGAGUGUAUGACACUUUGGGAGGGGGGAAGACAAUGCAGAGAUAAAUAAAGAUGAGAAAACUUAAUACA
rnacentral:lncRNA from 1 species